UACAGAGGGUGCAAGCGUUGUUCGGAAUUAUUGGGCGUAAAGGGCGCGUAGGCGGCUUUGCAAGUCGGGUGUGAAAUCCCCAGGCUUAACCUGGGAACUGCGUUCGAGACUGCAUUGCUAGAGUAUGGGAGAGGGAAGUGGAAUUUCCGGUGUAGCGGUGAAAUGCGUAGAUAUCGGAAGGAACAUCAGUGGCGAAAGCGACUUCCUGGACCAAUACUGACGCUCAUGUGCGAAAGCGUGGGGAGCAAACAGG
rnacentral:rRNA from 1 species